rnacentral:lncRNA from 1 species
UGUGAAAAUGGGGGAGAUAAUUUUACAAGUGACUUGAGAAUAGGCAAAGGGUACAUCUCUAAAGAAUGCCAAAUACAAGGUUGGAAAACAUAAGGUACCCAGAAGGGGCGGGGGAAAGAAAUAAGAAAACUGAGAAUAGUCAGAUAAAGAGCUGACUAGUGGGAGAAUAUUAAGAGAGAUUGGUAUCAUAAAAUAAUGAUGGGGAGAAAAUUUCCAGAAUCAUCAACAAAAUAUGUGUUGUUGAAAGAAUUAGAUGGUCACUGAAAUGAGUCAACUGAUUUUUUGUGUUUUUUUUUUGUUUUUUUCUUUUUGAGACAGGGUUUCUCUCUGUCACUCAGGCUGGAGUACAGUGACACAACCAUGACUCACUGCAAUCUUGACUUCUGGGCUCAAGAAAUUCUCCUACUUCAGCUUACCAGUUCCACAGACUGUACAAGAGGCAUGGCUGUGGAGGCCUCAAGAAACUUACAAUCAUGGUGGAAGGUGAAGAGGAAGCAAUCACAUCUUCGCAUGGUGACAGGAGAGACAGAGAGUAAAGAGGGAAGUACCACACACUUUUAAAUCAUCAGAUAGCAUGAGAAGUUACUCACUAUCAUGAGAAAAGCAUGAUUUAAUCAUCUCCCACCAGGUCCUCUCUCCACAUUGGGAGUUACAAUUCAGCAUGAGAUUUGGGUUGGGACACCCACCCUGCAGCAGACUUCUGCCUGGACAUCCAGGCAUUUCCAUACAUCCUCUGCAAUCUAGGUAGAGGCUCCCAAACCUAAACUCUUGCCUUCUGUAUACCCACAGCCCAAUACUACAUGGAAGCUGCUAUGACUUGGGACCUGCACCCUCUGAAGGAACAGUCCAAGCUGUACCUUGGCUCCUUUUAGCAAUGGCUGGAGCUGGAGUGGCUGGGACACAGGAUGCCAUGUCUCAAGGAUGCAUAGAUCAACAGGGCCCUGGGCCUGGCUCACAAAACCAUUUUUCCCUCCUUGGCCUCCAAGCCUGUAGUGGGAGGGGCUGCAGUGAAGGUCUGAAAUACCCAGGAGGCAUUUUCCCCAUUGUGGUGGCUAUUAACAUUUGGCUC